rnacentral:rRNA from 1 species
GACCCGUCUUGAAACACGGACCAAGGAGUCUAACAUGUGUGCGAGCAAUUGGGCUGACUAAACCCAAGUGCGUAGUGAAAGCAAAGGGCAUAUUGGUGUCUGAGGGGUGAUCCCGCAAGGGCGCAGCCCCGGCGCUUUGCAUCGACCUCGCUUCGUGCAGAGCAGCAAGAGCAUACACGUUGGGACCCGAAAGAUGGUGAACUAUGCCUGGCCAGGUUGAAGUCAGGGGAAACCCUGAUGGAGGACCGUAGCGAUUCUGACGUGCAAAUCGAUCGUCAGAGCUGGGUAUAGGGGCGAAAGACUAAUCGAACCAUCUAGUAGCUGGUUCCUUCCGAAGUUUCCCUCAGGAUAGCUGGCGCUCAUGUGAACGAGUUUCAUCCGGUAAAGCGAAUGAUUAGAAGUCUUGGGGACGAAACGUCCUCAACUUAUUCUCAAACUUUAAAUGGGUGAGAAGCGGGGCUUGCUUAAGUGAAGCCUCGCAUCGAAUCGGAGUGCCUAGUGGGCCAUUUUUGGUAAGCAGAACUGGCGCUGUGGGAUGAACCAAACGCGAGGUUAAAGUGCCAAAAUGGAAGCUCAUCAGAUCCCACGAAAGGUGUUGGUUGCUUAAGACAGCAGGACGGUGGCCAUGGAAGUCGGAAUCCGCUAAGGAGUGUGU